rnacentral:rRNA from 1 species
GAUGAACGCUGGCGGCGUGCCUAAUACAUGCAAGUCGAGCGAACAGACGAGGAGCUUGCUCCUCUGACGUUAGCGGCGGACGGGUGAGUAACACGUGGAUAACCUACCUAUAAGACUGGGAUAACUUCGGGAAACCGGAGCUAAUACCGGAUAAUAUAUUGAACCGCAUGGUUCAAUAGUGAAAGACGGUUUUGCUGUCACUUAUAGAUAGAUCCGCGCCGCAUUAGCUAGUUGGUAAGGUAACGGCUUACCAAGGCGACGAUGCGUAGCCGACCUGAGAGGGUGAUCGGCCACACUGGAACUGAGACACGGUCCAGACUCCUACGGGAGGCAGCAGUAGGGAAUCUUCCGCAAUGGGCGAAAGCCUGACGGAGCAACGCCGCGUGAGUGAUGAAGGUCUUCGGAUCGUAAAACUCUGUUAUUAGGGAAGAACAAAUUUGUAAGUAACUAUGCACGUCUUGACGGUACCUAAUCAGAAAGCCACGGCUAACUACGUG